AUUCGUAUGUUUCUUGUCUCCAAUUGGUCCUUGGUCCUCUGUUGAGGUGGAAAGUUGAAUUUUAAAGAAGCUGGCUUACAUGAAGAAAAAGUUUUAUUCAAACUUUGAAGGUUCUGGACUGUAAUAUAGAAGUUUGGUUGGUCCUCACUUCCAGAUUAUCAAAAUGCCUUUUUUUAUUUGGUCCCCGGAUAACGACCGAGGAAUCCAAACACCGACAUCAUCAAGAAAAAGAGGAACCACAUAUUACAACAGAAUUGAAUAUUUAAACAUGUUUUGAUUUUAAAUAUAUAACAAAUCGAGUAAGAUGGCAGCAUGCCUAUCACCAUCAGUUCCAAAAUGUUGAUUUGUUCUUGGCAAAAGCAUUUCAUUGAUCGUUAAUAUUGAUGCUGCCUAGAUUUGUUAAACUAUAUCGAGCAAUAGCUGGCCAACCAGUUGCCCCUUAAGUUGCA